AAGGAGUCUAACAUGCUUGCGAGUAUUUGGGUGUCAAACCCGGAUGCGUAAUGAAAGUGAAUGGAGGUGGGAAGCGCAAGCUGCACCAUCGACCGAUCUGGAUUUUCUAAGAUGGAUUUGAGUAAGAGCACGUAUGUCGGGACCCGAAAGAUGGUGAACUAUGCCUGAAUAGGGCGAAGCCAGAGGAAACUCUGGUGGAGGCUCGUAGCGGUUCUGACGUGCAAAUCGAUCGUCAAAUUUGGGUAUAGGGGCGAAAGACUAAUCGAACCAUCUAGUAGCUGGUUCCUGC
rnacentral:misc_RNA from 1 species